rnacentral:rRNA from 1 species
CCUACGGGGGGCAGCAGUGGGGGAUAUUGCACAAUGGGGGAAACCCUGAUGCAGCGACGCCGCGUGAGUGAAGAAGGAAUUCGUGAUGUAAAGCUCUAUCAGCAGGGAAGAAACAGACGGUACCUGAGUAAGAAGCCACGGCUAACUACGUGCCAGCAGCCGCGGUAAUACGUAGGGGGCAAGCGUUCUCCGGAGUUACUGGGUGUAAAGGGAGCGUAGACGGCGAAGAAAGGCUGACGUGACAGCCCGCGGCUGAACCGCGGAACGGCUUUUGAAACUUUUUUGCUGGAGUACCGGAGAGGUGAGCGGCAUUCCUAGUGUAGCCGUGAAAUGCGUAGCUAUUAGGUGGAACACCCGUGGCGAAGGCGGCUUACUGGACGGUACCUGCCGUUGAGGCUCGAACGCGUGGGGAGCACACAGGAUUAGAUACCCCGGUAGUC